UGUGUGUCUCUCUCUGGUGAGUGCAUGUGUUUUUAUAUUAAAAACGUAACACACACACACACACACACACACACACACACACACACA
rnacentral:miRNA from 1 species